ensembl:snoRNA
AUCUGCCAUAAGUGUGAUGAUUGGGUGUUCACGCUCUUAUGUGAGAUGUGCCUCCCUCAAAUCUUGUUAAAAUCUUGUUACAUCUGCAUAUUACCUGUCUGAUG